AUGCAAAGAAGUCAGCAGGGCUGGUUUCCUCUGGGACUCAAGGGGAGCCUUCUCUGGCUUUCUCAGUUCCAGAGGCCACCCCCGUUCCCAGGCUCUGGGUCUCGGGAGUCCCGGGUACACUUGGAUGCAGAGAAUGUGUGCUGGGGAGGCCUUUCUCGGCCCUGCGGGGUGCACAUCAGGCCCCAGAGGCCCCUCAAAGGAACGGGGACGGGGCCCUCUGGCAAGUGUGGCCAGGCUUUCCUGGUGAGUGUGCACGCCCUCAGGUGUAGAAAUGAUUUCCUGGUGAGUGUGCACGCCCUCAGGUGUGGCCAGGCUUUCCUGGUGAGUGUGCACGCCCUCAGGUGUGGGGAGGCUUUCCUGGUGAGUGUGCACGCCCUCAGGUGUGGCCAGGCUUUCCUGGUGAGUGUGCACGCCCUCAGGUGUAGAAAUGAUUUCCUGGUGAGUGUGCACGCCCUCAAGUGUAGAAAUGAUUUCCUGGUGAGUGUGCACGCCCUCAGGUGUGGAAAUGAUUUCCUGGUGAGUGUGCACGCCCUCAGGUGUGGAAUCGCUUUCCUGGUGAGUGUGCACGCCCUCAGGUGUGGAGAGGCUUUCCUGGUGAGUGUGCACGCCCUCAGGUGUGGCCAGGCUUUCCUGGUGAGUGUGCACGCCCUCAGGUGUGGCCAGGCUUUCCUAGUGAGUGUGCACGCCCUCAGGUGUGGAAAUGAUAUCCUGGUGAGUGUGCACGCCCUCAGGUGUGGAAUCGCUUUCCUGGUGAGUGUGCACGCCCUCAGGUGUGGGGAGGCUUUCCUGGUGAGUGUGCACGCCCUCAGGUGUGGGGAGGCUUUCCUGGUGAGUGUGCACACCCUCAGGUGUGGAAAUGAUUUCCUGGUGAGUGUGCACGCCCUCAGGUGUGGAGAGGCUUUCCUGGUGAGUGUGCACGCCCUCAGGUGUGGAAAUGAUUUCCUGGUGAGUGUGCACGCCCUCAGGUGUGGAAAUGAUUUCCUGGUGAGUGUGCACGCCCUCAGGUGUGGAAAUGAUUUCCUGGUGAGUGUGCACGCCCUCAGGUGUGGGGAGGCUUUCCUGGUGAGUGUGCACGCCCUCAGGUGUGGCCAGGCUUUCCUGGUGAGUGUGCACGCCCUCAGGUGUGGCCAGGCUUUCCUGGUGAGUGUGCACCCUCUCAGGUGUGGAAAUGAUUUCCUGGUGAGUGUGCACGCCCUCAGGUGUGGAAAUGAUUUCCUGGUGAGUGUGCACGCCCUCAGGCGUGGAAAUGAUUUCCUGGUGAGUGUGCACGCCCUCAGGUGUGGAGAGGCUUUCCUGGUGAGUGUGCACGCCCUCAGGUGUGGAAUCGCUUUCCUGGUGAGUGUGCAUGCCCUCAGGUGUGGAAUCGCUUUCCUGGUGAGUGUGCACGCCCUCAGGUGUGGGGAGGCUUUCCUGGUGAGUGUGCACGCCCUCAGGCGUGGAAAUGAUUUCCUGGUGAGUGUGCACGCCCUCAGGUGUAGAAAUGAUUUCCUGGUGAGUGUGCAUGCCCUCAAGUGUGGAAAUGAUUUCCUGGUGAGUGUGCACGCCCUCAGGUGUAGAAAUGAUUUCCUGGUGAGUGUGCACGCCCUCAGGUGUGGAAAUGAUUUCCUGGUGAGUGUGCACGCCCUCAGGUGUGGGGAGGCUUUCCUGGUGAGUAUGCACGCCCUCAGGUGUGGAGAGGCUUUCCUGGUGAGUGUGCACGCCCUCAGGCGUGGAAAUGAUUUCCUGGUGAGUGUGCACGCCCUCAGGUGUUGA
rnacentral:lncRNA from 1 species